rnacentral:rRNA from 1 species
GUAGGGAAUAUUGGGCAAUGGAGGCAACUCUGACCCAGCCAUGCCGCGUGCAGGAUGACGGCCCUCUUGGUUGUAAACUGCUUUUAUACGGGAAGAAAAAAUACUACGUGUAGUAUACUGACGGUACCGUAAGAAUAAGGAUCGGCUAACUCCGUGCCAGCAGCCGCGGUAAUACGGAGGAUCCAAGCGUUGUCCGGAUUUAUUGGGUUUAAAGGGUGCGUAGGCGGAUCUUUAAGUCAGUGGUGAAAGCCUGCAGCUUAACUGUAGAAUUGCCAUUGAAACUGAAGAGCUUGAAUGUGGUUAAAGUAGGCGGAAUGGAUCAUGUAGCGGUGAAAUGCUUAGAUAUGAAACAGAACACCGAUAGCGAAGGCAGCUUGAUGAACCAUUAUUGACGCUGAGGCACGAAAGCGUGGGGAGCGAACAGGAUUAGAUACCCUAGUAGUCC